rnacentral:rRNA from 1 species
UACAGAGGGUGCAAGCGUUGUCCGGAAUCCCUGGGCGUAAAGGGCGCGUAGGCGGCCCGGUAAGUAGGGGGUGAAAUCUCACGGCUCAACUGUGAGGCUGCCUUCUAGACUGCCAGGCUCGAGCACAGUAGAGGCUGGUGGAAUUCCCGGUGUAGCGGUGGAAUGCGUAGAGAUCGGGAAGAACAUCUGUGGCGAAGGCGGCCAGCUGGGCUGUUGCUGACGCUGAUGCGCGACAGCGUGGGGAGCAAACAGG